rnacentral:rRNA from 1 species
AGAGUUUGAUCAUGGCUCAGGACGAACGCUGGCGGCGUGCUUAACACAUGCAAGUCGAGCGAGGCCCAUCCAGUCGCAAGACUGGGGAAGACCUAGCGGCGAACGGGUGAGUAACACGUGAGCAACCUGCCCCGAAGUCUGGGAUAACACCGGGAAACCGGUGCUAAUACCGGAUGCCCUCCUCUGGUCGCAUGGCCUAGGGAGGAAAGAAUUUUGCUUCGGGAGGGGCUCGCGGGCUAUCAGCUUGUUGGUGGGGUAACGGCCCACCAAGGCGACGACGGCUAGCUGGUCUGAGAGGACGACCAGCCACACUGGGACUGAGACACGGCCCAGACUCCUACGGGAGGCAGCAGUGGGGAAUCUUGCGCAAUGGGCGAAAGCCUGACGCAGCAACGCCGCGUGGGGGAUGACGGCCUUCGGGUUGUAAACCCCUUUCAGCAGGGACGAAACUGACGGUACCUGCAGAAGAAGCCCCGGCCAACUACGUGCCAGCAGCCGCGGUAAUACGUAGGGGGCGAGCGUUGUCCGGAUUUAUUGGGCGUAAAGAGCUCGUAGGCGGCUUGGCAAGUCGGGUGUGAAACCUCCAGGCUCAACCUGGAGACGCCACUCGAUACUGCUAUGGCUAGAGUCCGGUAGGGGACCACGGAAUUCCUGGUGUAGCGGUGAAAUGCGCAGAUAUCAGGAGGAACACCGGUGGCGAAGGCGGUGGUCUGGGCCGGCACUGACGCUGAGGAGCGAAAGCGUGGGUAGCAAACAGGAUUAGAUACCCUGGUAGUCCACGCCGUAAACGUUGGGCACUAGGUGUGGGGCCUUAUCAACGGGUUCCGUGCCGUAGCUAACGCAUUAAGUGCCCCGCCUGGGGAGUACGGCCGCAAGG